rnacentral:lncRNA from 1 species
AGUGGCUGAGGGGUUAGGGACAUGGAGAACUGAAAGCCCUUGAAUUUGUGUAGGAGUGGCAUUAUUUCUUCCUUAAAUAUUUGAAAGAUUUCACCAUCUGGACCUGAAGUUUUCAUUGUGGGGAUCAUCAUCAUCAUCAUCAUCAUCAUCAUCAUCAUCAUCAUCAUCAAUAAGAGCAGAGUGGGGUCUUGCUUUGAGCAUGGUGAAAAUGGGUCGUUUGCUGAAAAGUUGCAUGAGUGACCGAACCUCUGCGACUGAGAGCCGACACAGGCCUUGUCCCGAUCAUCACCUCCCUGCCCCAGAGGAGACUGGAUUGUGCAGGACUCCUGGCCAUUCUGAUCUAGGAGACAGGGCGUGGCAAAACUGGCUGGGGAAACUGUCAAUCACCAGUUCCCAGGUAACUUGAAGACCCAUAUGUGGAACUUCCCACAAGCCUUCACGCAGUGUGGACAGCGUAAAAAGGACUGGCUCUCACAGAAAGCCUAUCGUGCGUGAGUUUGCACAGUAGCCUGGCGUGUCUGAUAGCGGCGUGUACUUCUAUUUUUGCUUUUACCGUCUUUUUCUUUUUGUCCGGCCCAAGCUUGCUCUGCAGAGCUGAUUUCUCCUAUACCCUUUUACCCCACACUUUUCAAAUAAACUUUUUG